GAAAGACACGGUUCAGUGUCUGUCUGUCAGAACCGUAUCUGCUGUUCAGGCUGACUCAUCUAGUCUGGAGGAGGGGCUAUCUUCAUUUCUAAUUGAGGCUGUGGAGUCCAGGGACGAGACCUGACUGACUUGUCUCAGAGGUACUUCCUGAACAGUCUUUCUCUCACCGUGGACCAAAGGUUUGGCCAGAGCUAUGUAGCUGUCAAGCUCUAGAGAAAAUGAGGGGCGUAUUUCUAAAAGGGCAGAGGGAAACAUAGCCAGAAGAGGCAGACAGGCGGAUGAAAAUAUCAAACGGUUCCAGCGUGCACUGAAGGAUCAGAUGUGUGGAGAGUAGAGGCCAGGGAGGGACUGACUGCAGGGGGAUUGCCAGCUCCUCUGAGAAGCCUUUCCCAGAGGCCUGCUUUGGCUCCUGACGUCCUUGUUCGUGUUCUCUGUAGCCGAUGGCAUGUAUAUUACCUAAUCACAGCAGCUUUGAAGGUGAAAGUUCCUCUGGUUCAUCCUGUUUCCUUCCUUCCGGUUGUGAACAUGGACUUACUGUUUGGAUGAAGAAAUGAAGAAACGGGAGAAAUACAGACAUAGAGAAGGAAGGUCAGAGAUGUUUGAUUUUGGAGGUGGAGAUGAGGAAUUGUGCCCAGUGCAUCGUGCCCUCUGUACUUUCCAAUGGAGUCAGUCAGCAAGAGGCUGACCAAAGCACUGGAGAGCCUGGCAUGCUGUGGCUUUGAAAUUUCC
rnacentral:lncRNA from 1 species